GACGAACGCUGGCGGCGUGCCUAAUACAUGCAAGUCGAACGCACUCUCGUUUAGAUUGAAGGAGCUUGCUCCUGAUUGAUAAACAUUUGAGUGAGUGGCGGACGGGUGAGUAACACGUGGGUAACCUGCCCUAAAGUGGGGGAUAACAUUUGGAACAGAUGCUAAUACCGCAUAAAACCUAACACCGCAUGGUGUAGGGUUGAAAGAUGGUUUCGGCUAUCACUUUAGGAUGGACCCGCGGUGCAUUAGUUAGUUGGUGAGGUAAAGGCUCACCAAGACCGUGAUGCAUAGCCGACCUGAGAGGGUAAUCGGCCACACUGGACUGAGACACGGCCCAGACUCCUACGGGAGGCAGCAGUAAGGGAAUCUUCCACAA
rnacentral:rRNA from 1 species